rnacentral:sRNA from 1 species
GGCUAGAAAGGUGAUCUGAUUGUAUCAUCUGUCACCACACUGAUUUCCACAGUGCAUUCUGUCAAUCUCACAGACUAAGCAGAUGUGUCUUUUCUCCCUCUCUCCAGCC